CUUAGCAGGCAACAUCUUUACUGUGCUAGAAAUUACAAUUGUAUUACUAGCAGCCUGCUUAGCAGGUUCACAGAUCAAAUAGAGGUGGCCCUUAGGGGUUGAGACAUGAUUGAGUUGAUGCUGAAAUAGCACUGAGGAACUGGAACCUGCGGAAGGAUCAUUAAAGAGUCAUUAUGGGCUUACACCCUAAUACUCCACCCUUUGUUUACAUUACCUCUGUUGCUUUGGCAGGCCCGUCCUUGUGACCACUGGCUUCGGCUGGUCCGCGCCUGCCAGAGGACCACAACUCUUGUUUUUAGUGAUGUCUGAGUACUAUAUAAUAGUUAAAACUUUCAACAACGGAUCUCUUGGUUCU
rnacentral:misc_RNA from 1 species